AUUGAACGCUGGCGGCAUGCUUUACACAUGCAAGUCGAACGGCAGCACGGACUUCGGUCUGGUGGCGAGUGGCGAACGGGGGAGUAAUACAUCGGAACGUGCCCAGUUGUGGGGGAUAACUACUCGAAAGAGUAGCUAAUACCGCAUGAGAACUGAGGUUGAAAGCAGGGGAUCGUAAGACCUUGCGCAACUGGAGCGGCCGAUGGCAGAUUAGGUAGUUGGUGGGAUAAAAGCUUACCAAGCCGACGAUCUGUAGCUGGUCUGAGAGGACGACCAGCCACACUGGGACUGAGACACGGCCCAG
rnacentral:rRNA from 1 species